rnacentral:rRNA from 1 species
GUCUCAAAGAUUAAGCCAUGCAUGUCUAAGUAUAAGCAAUCUAUACGGUGAAACUGCGAAUGGCUCAUUAAAUCAGUUAUCGUUUAUUUGAUAGUACCUUACUACUUGAUAACCGUGGUAAUUCUAGAGCUAAUACAUGCUAAAAACCCCGACUUCGGAAGGGGUGUAUUUAUUAGAUAAAAAACCAAUGC